ACUCCUACGGGGGGCAGCAGUGGGGAAUCUUUGACAAUGGGCGCAAGCCUGAUCAAGCGAUGCCGCGUGAGUGACGAAGGUCUUAGGAUCGUAAAGCUCUUUCGCCUCUGAUGAUAAUGACUGUAGCAGGUUAAGAAACCCCGGCUAACUCCGUGCCAGCAGCCGCAGUAA
rnacentral:rRNA from 1 species